rnacentral:lncRNA from 1 species
CAGCCACCUUCUCUUGGCAGAGUUCGAAACCCUUGAUGAAGGCAUCCUGGCCAAACUGGACCUUUAGAUCCUCCAUCUCGGAGGAGGCUUUGAACUCCUCCACUGCUCGGGCCCCUACCUCCGAAAUCAGGGACGGAAUCUAUGCUUUCAGCUCGAAAAUCUAUGCCUUCAACUCGGAAGCCUGCACCCUCAGUUCAGAGAUUUCAUCCUCAGC